UUUAGGCCAUUUAAGGCAAACUCACACACACAACGCAUACACAAAGACUCGAACCCAAGACCUCUUAGUUAGAAGCAUAAGCUCUCAACCAACAGGUCAAGGUGAGUUAUGUGAUUCAUGUUGACCUCAAUUUUAGCUCGAGCAUCCUCGAGGGCCUUUAAUUGAUUUAAUCGAGCCUCAUCGAGCCCGAUUCAAAAAGAGUUUGCAUUGAUUCUGGUUUAAUUUCAUUAAUUAAAUUUUGUCAAGCCUGAUUUCAACUCAAAUCUAAUUUAAAUUAAGGCUCUAUUGACUUUCUCAUGACUUGAAAUUGUUCCCAAAUCAAUAAAACAAUCCAACGACAGAGAUUUCAUCAAAAUUCAAAUACUAGCCGUUGCUUUGAUCCACUCACGCAAGAUACUCGCUUUGAAGGCAUGAGCAUGAUUUUUGCGAGCUUCCACUCCUUGCAUUAACAGAUAUUUACUCCAAGCAUUGGCAAAGGCCUGGGGUCGGCGAGAAAAUUUUUGGGGAAAUGGCUCUCUUGUUCGGGAUUUUCAGGCGCCCGCUCCUUUUCUCUGCCUUGGUCUCUCUUUCUUUCGGAGCAGGCUAAGAGACCGACGGCCCCUCUCUGAUUUGCGAGCCCCUCCCCGUCUCUACUAGGGUUCGCACGAGCUAGGAGCGGAGCCCUCUUCUCCUCCACUCGUCUCCUGCUUGAUCGAACCCGGACAAGGCUGAAGUCUCCUCCGAUUUGGCCUCGCCCUAGCUGCCUGCCUUCUCUAGUGCUCAGCCCAGGCGAAAUCUGCUCCCGUCGCUCCUAGCCGCCGGCGUCCUAUCACCUGCAAGAUUCAAUAUCAUGUCACUGUUGGGAUGGUUAUCGCAUAAAUCACGAGUAACCUUGUGUAGAUUGGUUAGUCAAAUUCAAUCGAGCAGGUGUUUAAGUCAUGAUUUUCAUGUUAACUUGUUUUAUGUGACUUUGUAAACAUUGCAUAUCAAGUGUUUGAUGAAAGACCCCCAAAGGAAAGCCAUAGGUAUUUGCUCGCAUUAAGGCUUUAUGUGGUGAGUUGGUUUAUAUAGAGGCUUGUUGGAAUGUGCUUAUGAGUAUCAAACAUCACUCUGAAUAAUGGGAUUACUUUCUCUUGCUAUAUUAAUGAAGCCAGUAGCAUGAUAGUUUGUUCCUCCUCCUUGGAAAAUGAAGAAUAGCUUUCAUUCAUGUUCUUGAGAUAAUCUGAAAUGAUGUAAUAAAUUUAUUUGCCUUCUUUUUAUUUAUUUUUGUGGACUCAUGCCAUGAGUGGGGGAGAUCGACAUGUGCUAAUUUGUUGCAUUCUUAAAUCCAUUCGACACAAACUUUGAGUUGGAAUAAGUAGAUGAGGUAGAGAUUUGGCAUACACUUGUAUAUUAUUAAAUGCUUCAGUUAUUCUAUGAAAGACACUUAGCUAAGACAAUCAUAUGCUUUCAUUCUUUCUUUCAUGAAGUAUUUUGGAGAAGGCUUAAGAGCUUUGGAAGUUGGAAAGUAGAAUAUGGGGGUUGUUAGAGAUUCUUUGCUUUAGGAAUUAUGACAUUGGUACGUCUUCCUUAUGAUUAUCAAAAUCUUGUUACCUCUUGGCUUUGUGAGCUUGUGAAUGUAAAUCUGGU